rnacentral:rRNA from 1 species
CACGUAGGGGGCGAGCGUUGUCCGGAUUUAUUGGGCGUAAAGAGCUCGUAGGCGGCUCGGUAAUCAGGUGUGAAAACUCUAGGCUCAACCUAGAGACGCCACCUGAUACUGCUGUGGCUAGAGUCCGGUAGGGGAGCAUGGAAUUCCUGGUGUAGCGGUGAAAUGCGCAGAUAUCAGGAGGAACACCGGUGGCGAAGGCGGGUCUCUGGGCC